ensembl:lncRNA
CACAGGCGGAGGGCCCGGCGCUGCCCGGCCGGGGCAUGGAGCAAACCUGAGGGCCGCCCUGGGCAGGGGUGCUGGGAAGGUGGUAUCCGCGGGGUUCUGCCGAGUGGAACGGCUCGUGUGUUAUGCCAUCAGAUCCAACACACCUAAGUAGAAGUGACCUGGAUGAAUAGCAUCAUAUGUGGAGUGGGAAUCUGCCUCCCCAGCCAACCUGCUCUUGACUGCUUGUACUGCUGGAGCAUCUUCAAAGCCCAGCCAAGACUGGAACUGUGGACUGUGCAGGUAAUUAAUGGUCUUCAAUCCAGUCUUCAGGCUGCUGAGCUCCUCCUUUUGUACAGUCCUUUUCCAGAAGCACAUCUCUGAUUUAUGCAGCUUGACAAAAUCCUAAACCUGCAGUCUCCUUGUCCUCCUGUUAAAUGGCUUGCAUGUGUCUCCAUCCUCACCAUGCCUUCUCAGAGAGCACUGGUGUUGUGCAUCUCUCCAUCCCUCCGAGGUGCAUUUGGCCUUCCUUCUCUGCGAUUCCUCCCCUUCCCUUUUUCCUGACACAGACUCAAGUUUUAAAAAUCCAUUUUCCUUCUCUGAGCCACCAUUAUGCACAAAUACUUCUCUGCUCUUCUUCACAUGCCACCAAUUUCCUCCAGAACCUGUCACUCUCAUCUGGCUACUUAACUGUGUAAUGAUAUGAAAUAUUCACUCUAAUGAGCCCCUGCUGUGGAUACCACUUGAUCCUGCCUUGUUUUUGUUCUUUUUGACUCUGACCUCACUGAAUGUUGUACUUCGACUUUCCUUCUCCCAAAUUUCAAACUGCUUCCUGAAGCUACACCAUACGUGCAUAUGUACAGCUCAUACAACAUACGUCUUUUCUGCUGAUGUUUUCAGAAGGAACAAGGGCUAUCUUGAUGGGAAUUUUCAGCAAAUACCACGUGAUCAGUCUCGGACAGCUGCCAUGGAAACUUCAUCCUGAAGUUUUGCAAAGUAGAUGAAAAUAAAAUUUUGUAAUGAAAAAUGUCAGGGAACCUAAAUAGCAGACUGUUCCUUGGUGGUUAGUCCUUUGGCAAUUGGAAAGCACAGAGCUGCCAGCCCUUCAGCCUCAUGCACAGAAAUCAGCAUAUGUGGGACGAACAACCUGAUUAAAUGAAUACGAUUUAAGUUUUCAAGUGAAAGGGAAUCCAGAAGAACUACCCUAGUUGUGGCUUUAAAUACUGAACUUCUAAAUACUACCUCUGUUUUCUAUACCUUUGUGAUGCACCUACACAAACUAAUGGAAGGAUGAAAUGAUAGCACAGGGGCCUGGAGAUUGCUGCAUUCACGC